AUGGCUAAAAAGGAAAAAAGUAAAAUCGAAUUCUCCUUGGAAACGUCACAUCAAGACACAAGGACACUGGAGAUCCUAAGAACGAGCUCUUCUCCAGGAUCCGUGCUUGUGUUAUCGUUGAUGUUUGGAGGAAGCAAGGGAGACUCAGUGAACCAGACGGAAGGCCAAAUGAUCCUCUCAGAGAGGGCUUCUCUGAUUGUGAACUGCUUUUGUGAACCCACAGAGUACUCUGCCCUUUUCCAGUAUGUCCAGUAUCCCGGACAAGGGCCACAGCUCCUCCUGAAGGCUAUGAAAGCCAACGAGAAGGGAAGCAGCAAAGGUUUUGAAGCCACCUACCGCAAAGAGCCAAACUCUUUCCACUUGAAGAAGUCCUCAGUGCAAGCGUCAGAUUCGGCCAUGUACUACUGUGCCCUGAGUGACACAAUGACAGGGACUGCAGGGGGAGCUGAGCACAAACUCUGA